rnacentral:misc_RNA from 1 species
AACCUUAUGGACCUGCGGGCGUAUACCUGCGGAGGGAUCAUUACCGAGUUUACAACUCCCAAACCCCUGUGAACAUACCUAUACGUUGCCUCGGCGGAUCAGCCCGCGCCCUGUAAAAAGGGACGGCCCGCCCGAGGACCCUAAACUCUGUUUUUAGUGGAACUUCUGAGUAAAACAAACAAAUAAAUCAAAACUUUUAACAAUGGAUCU